GCCAGGUGCAGUGGUGCACACCUGGAAUCCCAGCAGCUUGGGAAGCUGAGGCAGGAGGGUUGUAAGUUCAAAGCCAGCCUUAACAACUUUGCAAGACUCUGCCUCAA
rnacentral:sRNA from 1 species